rnacentral:rRNA from 1 species
ACUCCUACGGGAGGCAGCAGUGGGGAAUAUUGCACAAUGGGCGCAAGCCUGAUGCAGCGACGCCGCGUGAGGGAUGACGGCCUUCGGGUUGUAAACCUCUUUCAGCACCGACGAAGCGCAAGUGACGGUAGGUGCAGAAGAAGGACCGGCUAACUACGUGCCAGCAGCCGCGGUAAU